rnacentral:rRNA from 1 species
UACGUAGGGUGCGAGCGUUGUCCGGAAUUACUGGGCGUAAAGAGCUCGUAGGUGGUUUGUCGCGUUGUCCGUGAAAACUCACAACUCAAUUGUGGGCGUGCGGGCGAUACGGGCAGACUGGAGUACUGCAGGGGAGACUGGAAUUCCUGGUGUAGCGGUGGAAUGCGCAGAUAUCAGGAGGAACACCGGUGGCGAAGGCGGGUCUCUGGGCAGUAACUGACGCUGAGGAGCGAAAGCUAUGGGAGCGAACAGG